rnacentral:rRNA from 1 species
GACAGGGGGGGCAAGCGUUGUUCGGAAUUACUGGGCGUAAAGGGCGCGUAGGCGGCCAACUAAGUCACACGUGAAAUCCCCAGGCUUAACCUGGGAACUGCGUGUGAUACUGGAUGGCUUGAAUUCGGGAGAGGGAUGCGGAAUUCCAGGUGUAGCGGUGAAAUGCGUAGAUAUCGAGAGGAAAACCUGCGGCGAAGGCGGGUUGCUGGGCUGACACUGACGCUGAAAGCGCGAAAGCCAGGGGAGCGAACGGG